rnacentral:rRNA from 1 species
AUGGAUGAGUUCACUUUCCCCACUGUCCCGGGCGGGCAGUGCAAGCUCGCGCCGUUCCCUCCGCCGUGGUUCGUCGCCGCCGUCGCGGAGGAGGAGGACGACGGCAGCAGCGGCUCGCCGAGGGGCCGCGACGAGAGGAUGGACAUGCUGUGGGAGGACUUCAACGAAGAGCUCGCGCGCGCGCCGCCGGUGUGCCCUCUCAGCCCCGUGAGCAAGGGGGGCGGGCUGAUGGCGAUGACGAUGAUGAAGGAGGCCGAGUGGUUCUACAGCGACGGCGACGGCGAGGGCGACGACGGCGGUGUGGUCGAGGCGAGGAAGCGUAGUGGCAGUGGCAGGCACAUGGUGGUCCGGCGCCGGAGGUGGAGCCUGCUGCUGAUGUUCAGGCUGCUCAAGAAGCUCUUCCUGGUCAAGAAAUCCAGGAGCGGAAGAACCGCGUCAAUCUGA